rnacentral:misc_RNA from 1 species
GACUAAACUAUAUAUUAUGACAAAAAUCAAAGGAUUCUUGGUGGAUGUAUGUGGUGGGAAUGCAAGGGGAGUUUCACCAGGUUAGAAUGAAUAAUUAUGGAUUUAGAUAUGCGUUUGAGAUUCAAGUUCUAAACCAGCAGUACAACAGCUAAUUAAUUGUUAUGAAGCAAUUAUCCAGGCUAUUGUUAUCCUGUUCUAAACCAGCAUUACAGUCCCCGUAGAUUAUAGGUUCAGUAUAAGUAUGGGGCAAAAAAUUGCAGUGUAUUCCAACCUAAACUUAAAUUUUACAAUCCCAUUAUUUCUUGUUGCUUCUAGCAGUAUAUGUUUGCAAAUAUUUCAAUGGACACAGUUCAUUCAUCAAGGUUUAGGACAGGCGCAAACUAACUGAUAUUACAAACUUAUCAGUACGGAUUAUUAAGAACCACAAAUAUAUUUAGCACUGAAAUAGAGGUCCAAAGCACGUGAUGCCUAACACUGGUCCAAUCUCCAAACAGAUCAAGAACAUUCAAGAAUCAUAAUAUGUUGACAACUAUCAA